rnacentral:rRNA from 1 species
AGUGAACGCUGGCGGCGUGCUUAACACAUGCAAGUCGAACGAGAACGGGCUAUAGCUUGCUAUAGUUGUCAGCUAAGUGGCGCACGGGUGAGUAAUGUAUAGGUAAUAUGCCUCUUACUAAGGGAUAACAAAUGGAAACGUUUGCUAAUACCUUAUACUCCUUAUUAACAGUAGUUAAUAGGGGAAAGAUUUAUUGGUAAGAGAUUAGCCUGUAUUGUAUCAGUUAGUUGGUGGGGUAAUGGCUUACCAAGACUAUGACACAUAACUGGUUUGAGAGGAUGAUCAGUCACACUGGAACUGAGACACGGUCCAGACUCCUACGGGAGGCAGCAGUGGGGAAUAUUGCACAAUGGACGAAAGUCUGAUGCAGCAACGCCGCGUGGGGGAUGACACAUUUCGGUGCGUAAACUCCUUUUAUAUGAGAAGAUAAUGACGGUAUUAUAUGAAUAAGCACCGGCUAACUCCGUGCCAGCCGCCGCGGUAA